rnacentral:rRNA from 1 species
ACGAACGCUGGCGGCAUGCCUAACACAUGCAAGUCGAACGAGACCUUCGGGUCUAGUGGCGCACAGGUGCGUAACGCGUGGGAACCUGCCCUUAGGUUCGGAAUAACUCCCCGAAAGGGGUGCUAAUACCGGAUAAUGUCUUCGGACCAAAGAUUUAUCGCCUUUGGAUGGGCCCGCGUUGGAUUAGCUAGUUGGUAGGGUAAAAGCCUACCAAGGCGACGAUCCAUAGCUGGUCUGAGAGGAUGAUCAGCCACACUGGGACUGAGACACGGCCCAGACUCCUACGGGAGGCAGCAGUGGGGAAUAUUGGACAAUGGGCGAAAGCCUGAUCCAGCAAUGCCGCGUGAGUGAUGAAGGCCUUAGGGUUGUAAAGCUCUUUUACCCGGGAUGAUAAUGACAGUGCCGGGAGAAUAAGCUCCGGCUAACUCCGUG